GUGGGGAAUAUUGGGCAAUGGUCGGAAGACUGACCCAGCCAUGCCGCGUGCAGGAAGACGGCCCUCUGGGUUGUAAACUGCUUUUAUCUGGGAAGAAAAAGGCCAUGCGUGGCAAAUUGCCGGUACCAGAUGAAUAAGCACCGGCUAACUCCGUGCCAGCAGCCGCGGUAAUACGGAGGGUGCAAGCGUUGUCCGGAUUUAUUGGGUUUAAAGGGUGCGUAGGCGGCUGAUUAAGUCAGCGGUGAAAGACUCCGGCUUAACCGGAGCAGUGCCGUUGAUACUGGUUAGCUUGAGUGUGGGAGGGGUACAUGGAAUUGAUGGUGUAGCGGUGAAAUGCAUAGAUACCAUCAGGAACACCGAUAGCGAAGGCAUUGUACUGGCCAACAACUGACGCUGAUGCACGAAAGUGUGGGGAUCGAACAGGAUUAGAUACCCUUGUAGUCC
rnacentral:rRNA from 1 species